GAUGAACGCUGGCGGCGUGCCUAAUACAUGCAAGUCGAACGCGCCUCUCUAGGUGCUUGCACCUUUCAUUGGAGUGGCGAACGGGUGAGUAACACGUGGAUAACCUGCCUCAAGGCUGGUAUAACAUUUGGAAACAGAUGCUAAUACCGAAUAAAACUUAGUAUCGCAUGAUACAAAGUUAAAAGGCGCUACGGCGUCACCUAGAGAUGGAUCCGCGGUGCAUUAGUUAGUUGGUGGGGUAAAGGCUUACCAAGACGAUGAUGCAUAGCCGAGUUGAGAGACUGAUCGGCCACAUUGGGACUGAGACACGGCCCAAACUCCUACGGGAGGCUGCAGUAGGGAAUCUUCCACAAUGGGCGCAAGCCUGAUGGAGCAACGCCGCGUGUGUGAUGAAGGCUUUCGGGUCGUAAAGCACUGUUGUAUGGGAAGAAAUGCUAAAAUAGGGAAUGAUUUUAGUUUGACGGUACCAUACCAGAAAGGGACGGCUAAAUACGUGCCAGCAGCCGCGGUAA
rnacentral:rRNA from 1 species